rnacentral:rRNA from 1 species
UACGGGGGGGGCAAGCGUUGUUCGGAAUUACUGGGCGUAAAGGGCCAGUAGGCGGCCAACUAAGUCGGAUGUGAAAUCCCCAGGCUUAACCUGGGAACUGCAUCCGAUACUGGAUGGCUUGAAUUCGGGAGAGGGAUGCAGAAUUCCAGGUGUAGCGGUGAAAUGCGUAGAUAUCGUAAGGAAGGCCGGUGGCGAAAGCGAGCCUCUGGACAGUUACUGACGCUGAUGCACGAAGGCCAGGGGAGCAAACGGG